AACGAACGCUGGCGGCAGGCCUAACACAUGCAAGUCGAACGCCCCGCAAGGGGAGUGGCGCACGGGUGAGUAACGCGUGGGAAUAUGCCCUUCGGUUCGGAAUAACACAGGGAAACUUGUGCUAAUACCGGAUACGAUCUAAGGAUGAAAGAUUUAUCGCCGAGGGAGUAGCCCGCGUAGGAUUAGCUAGUUGGUGAGGUAAUGGCUCACCAAGGCGACGAUCCUUAGCUGGUCUGCGAGGAUGAUCAGCCACACUGGGACUGAGACACGGCCCAGACUCCUACGGGAGGCAGCAGUGGGGAAUAUUGGACAAUGGGCGAAAGCCUGAUCCAGCCAUGCCGCGUGAGUGAUGAAGGCCUUAGGGUUGUAAAGCUUUUUCGCCAGGGAAGAUAAUGACGGUACCUGGAAAAGAAGCCUCGGCUAACUCCGUGCCAGCCGCCGCGGUAA
rnacentral:rRNA from 1 species